UUAAACGCCGAUUUGUUGUAAAGUAGGGUUUUAUCCUUCAAGCUCAGCCUGGCUCUCACGCCGCAGUUCUGUAUACUUUUUUUUGGCGAGCUCCAAUAUUCAGGCGAGUUCUGCAACAUUUUCCGGCAAUGGACUUGGAGUCUCACAAGAAUACCCAGGUUCUAAUCCUCGACUUUGGCUCGCAAUACACUCACCUCAUAACGAGAAGGAUUCGAAAGCUUUCAGUUUUCUCUCUCUGUAUCUCUGGUACUUCGUCUCUUGAAGCAAUAGCUGAGCACAAUUCAAGGGUCAUAAUUCUCUCGGGUGGUCCUCACUCGGUUCACUUGGAUGGGGCGCCAUGGCUCCCUCGAGGCUUUUUUGAAUAUGUCGAAGAAAAUGGGGUUUUUGUUUUGGGGAUUUGCUACGGCCUGCAACUGAUCGUUGAGAUGCUCGGUGGUGAGGUGAAGGCAGCAAAGAGCAGUGAAUAUGGGAGAAUGAACAUAGGUACAUAUGAGGGUUCUGUGCUCUUUGAUAAAGCUAUGGAGCAACAGGUUUGGAUGAGUCAUGGUGAUGAAGUUAUUAGGUUACCAGAAGGUUUUUCAGUUAUUGGAAGGAGUAAGAGGAAUUCAAUUGAUUCUUUGAAGAAAAAUGAAAUGGGUACAUUGAAUCAAAAUGGAGUGGAUUGUUUGCACGAAAACACCAUUGCUGCUAUUGAGAAUCCUUCUAAGAGGAUAUUUGGGCUCCAGUAUCAUCCUGAGGUAACACAUUCUCCAAAAGGAAUGGAAACACUGCAAUACUUUCUUUUCGAGGUCUGUAAAGUCACUGCCGAUUGGGAGUUGAAAGAUGUGCUUAUAGAUGAAAUUAAAACAGUAAAUAAUGAAGUGGGACCUGAGGAUCAUGUCAUAUGUGCUUUAUCUGGAGGUGUGGAUUCGACUGUCGCUGCUACUAUUGUACAUGAGGCGAUAGGAGACAGGCUACACUGUGUCUUUGUCGACAAUGGUCUCUUGAGGUUUCAGGAGAAAGAGCAUGUGAUGUCUACGUUUCAGGCGGACUUGCAUCUGUCUGUCACUUGUGUUGAUGCAACCGAUCGGUUUCUCAGCAAGCUCAAGGGUGUGGUAGAACCUGAAAUGAAAAGGAAAAUUAUUGGAAAGGAGUUUAUCUCAAUCUUUGAUGACUUUGCACAUGAAUUGGAACAAAAACUUGGAAGGAAACCCACUUUUUUGGUACAAGGAACUCUAUACCCAGAUGUCAUUGAAUCAUGUCCACCACCUGGAAGCGGAAGAACCCAUUCCCACACCAUAAAGAGCCAUCAUAAUGUUGGGGGCCUCCCAAAGGAUAUGAAGUUGAAGCUUAUAGAGCCUCUUAAGUUGCUAUUUAAAGAUGAGGUAAGGGAGUUGGGGGGCAUCUUGCAUGUUCCACAAGGUUUUCUGAAGCGUCACCCAUUUCCUGGUCCUGGCCUUGCUGUACGAGUUAUUGGUGAUGUUACAGAAGGGAAUGUCUUGGAUACAUUGCGCCAGGUUGAUCACAUAUUUGUUGAGGCCAUCAAGCAAGCUGGGAUCUACGAUUCCAUCUGGCAAGCCUUUGCCGUGUUUCCAAAUAUUAGGACAGUCGGUGUUCAGGGUGAUCAAAGAACUCAUUCUCAUGUAGUUGCUCUUAGAGCUAUAACAAGUGAGGAUGGAAUGACUGCAGACUGAGCAUUAUGGGAUUGCGGAUUGCGGAUUGCGGAUUGCGGCCGGAUUGUGAUCCUGUUUCAGGAGCGCAAGGUCGCAUUCCCAGAGCGGGAUCGCUGCCAUGUUUGGAGUUCCUGGUACAAUUUUGAUCCCAAGUUCCUUCAGUAUGUGUCUUCAAAGAUAUGCAAUGAGGUCCAAGGUGUUAAUAGAGUUGUGUAUGACAUAACCUCAAAACCUCCAUCAACAGUCGAAUGGGAAUGAUAGGACGAGUCAAACAUCCAAAAAAAGGCCUCCAAAGAGCGAAAGAGGGGAAGAAAGAUCAUUUGGUCAUCUCAUUCUCUUUAUGGAACACUAGAAAAAUGGAAAGAUCAUUUGGUCAUCUCAUUCUCUUUAUGGAACACAAGAAAAAUGGGUAGUUUGCCAAUGGCAUAUGAUGUCUUCAGUUUUUCCAUGGGUAAAAGUCUUCUGGAAAACUGCACGGCAAGAUAAAAAUAUCGACUUUUAGAUGUUAGAAGACCAACAGAUAGGUUUGGUGGAAUUAGAGAGAUCUGGCGAGAUCUUGCUUGAUGUCAGAGGUAUGAUUUUUUAUUUGCAGAGGUACGCAUAAAUAUUUUUGAUUAAUGGUAGUUUUCGUAGGUUGUUAAUUAUUGAGUUUGGUGUUGUCUCUGCCUUUGCCUCCUAUAUGACAUCACCAGACAAAUUCACGAGAAUUGCCAUUGAUUUCAGAAAAGAAUACCAGACAAAUUCACGAGAAUUGCCAUUGGUUUCAGAAAGUAAUACCAGAGUGCUUCUAGUUUAAAAUAUUUCUUGAUUGAAUUUUAUGGUUUCUAUUGUGUUUUCAUUCGACGAUAAGUAAAGAGCCUAGAUAUUAAGAAACAAGUGAUUGCAAGAACAUGUGGGCCUGGGCCACUUAUGAUGAGUUAUGUUUGAAGCUUGCAAAUGCCUUAUUUUGAGCAGUU